CAUCACCAUUAUUCUAAUUUUAUUUUAUGACAAUCAUCUGUUAUGAAUCAAGAAACAAUUAUAAAGUAGCAUUUAAAAAAAAAAAAAUAGAAAUCCACCUUAAAAGCUACCUUGUGCAAUUUGCGUCACAAGGACUUCCACUACUAUUCUCAUUAAUCUCGUGGAGCGUCACUAAAUUUCAUCCAUAUCUUUCGAUGUUUAUGGGGCCAAUAUGAAUAUUUUGACUGUCAUGUUAAUUAUUGAGUUUAAAUAAACGUCACCGUCCACGGGAAGGGAGA
rnacentral:lncRNA from 1 species